rnacentral:rRNA from 1 species
UGCAAGUCGAAGCGAAGCCUUCGGGCUUAGCGGCGGACGGGUGAGUAACGCGUGGGAACGUACCCAUUCCUGCGGAAUAGGCUCUGGAAACGGGGUUUAAUACCGCAUACGCCCUUCGGGGGAAAGAAUUUCGGGGAUGGAUCGGCCCGCGUUGGAUUAGGUAGUUGGUGGGGUAAAAGCCUACCAAGCCGACGAUCCAUAGCUGGUUUUAGAGGAUGAUCAGCCACACUGGGACUGAGACACGGCCCAGACUCCUACGGGAGGCAGCAGUGGGGAAUCUUAGACAAUGGGGGCAACCCUGAUCUAGCCAUGCCGCGUGAGUGAUGAAGGUCUUAGGAUCGUAAAGCUCUUUCGCCGGGGAAGAUAAUGACGGUACCCGGUAAAGAAACCCCGGCUAACUCCGUGCCAGCAGCCGCGGUAAUACGGAGGGGGUUAGCGUUGUUCGGAAUUACUGGGCGUAAAGCGCACGUAGGCGGACUGGAAAGUUGGGGGUGAAAUCCCGGGGCUCAACCUCGGAACUGCCUCCAAAACUAUCAGUCUGGAGUUCGAGAGAGGUGAGUGGAAUUCCGAGUGUAGAGGUGAAAUUCGUAGAUAUUCGGAGGAACACCAGUGGCGAAGGCGGCUCACUGGCUCGAUACUGACGCUGAGGUGCGAAAGUGUGGGGAGCAAACAGGAUUAGAUACCCUGGUAGUCCACACCGUAAACGAUGAAUGCCAGACGUCGGCUCGCAUGCGGGUCGG